UACGGGGGGGGCAAGCGUUGUUCGGAAUUACUGGGCGUAAAGGGUGCGUAGGCGGCUUUCUAAGUUGGAUGUGAAAACUAUGGGCUCAACCCAUAGCCUGCAUCCAAAACUGGAGAGCUUGGGUUCUGGAGGGGAAAGCGGAAUUCCUGGUGUAGCGGUGAAAUGCAUAGAUAUCAGGAGGAACACCGGUGGCGAAGGCGGCUUUCUGGACAGACACCGACGCUGAGGCACGAAAGCUAGGGGAGCAAACAGG
rnacentral:rRNA from 1 species